UACGUAGGUGGCAAGCGUUACUCGGAAUCACUAGGCGUAAAGCGCAGGUAGGAGGUUUGGUAAGUCUGUUGUGAAAGCUCCCGGCUUAACUGGGAGAGGUCAACGGAAACUACCAGGCUAGAGUGCGGUAGAGGUAGCUGGAAUUCCCGGUGUAGCGGUGAAAUGCGUAGAUAUCGGGAGGAAUACCUAUGGCGAAAGCAGGCUACUGGACCGUCACUGACUCUGAUCUGCGAAAGCUAGGGGAGCAAACAGG
rnacentral:rRNA from 1 species